rnacentral:lncRNA from 1 species
ACAGGCCUCUGGCGGCCACUUGCCUGCCAGCGGAAGAGCCUUCAAAGGGUAAGGCAAUGAAAACAAGGUGAUAUUAUUGACUAAUAUUUGAGUCUCCAGAUGAUGUCUCAAGACAUCCUCUGACUUCCCAGUAAGACAACCAGUAUGUUCCUUUGGGGCAAUAAAAUUGCUGUCAUUUGCAACCAACAAGUGAUUCCGAACCUCAGUCUAAGCACUGUAGCUAUGAACUGAAACCCUACACCUCGUGGCUAUGAACUGAGACAUUUUCCCAUCACACAAAACCUGUAUCAUGAUCGUAGCCGUCUGAACUGGAAAUUUCUGGGUUCUUUGGAGACUCGGUUGUGUUCUGGGAUGUUUUGCUGAGGCAGACACUUGAGCCAAUGCAUGAUGUUGGGAAAGAGUGUAAGUAGAACCCAACAGACAGUGAAUGAUUCUCUUGCAUUGGUUCGCCUUGCAACGCUUCUCUGGUCUUUGCUGAUCUUCACUUGCUGUGACUUCAUAGAGAGAAAUGCCUGUGGCAUUCUGCCUGCUUUUUGCCACUUUCUGCAGACCUGUGUGGAUUAGGAUCUAGCUGCCGCUACUGAUUUGUGCAUGGUGUUUGCCCAUUGGACUGAGCUGCCACUCCUGAUUCCUGUUUGAUAUUUUGGACUGGACUGCUGAUAUCCUGACAAGGAAACUUGGAAUCAACACAAAGAACUACUUCUAAACAGGUCCCUGUCCCCCUUGUCCUGUUAACCAUCUUUCUCCACAACCUUGGUUGGUGGGCUAUAGGGAGGUUGAAGCAUUUAGGAACCCUGAUUAAAGUAGGUUUUGAAAAUC